rnacentral:rRNA from 1 species
UGAGGAACAUGACCUUCGGCGGGGGAUAGCCGGCCCAACGGCCGGGUAAUACCGCGUACGACCACAUGGGGACAUCCCUGAGUGGUGAAAGCAGCAAUGCGCCGAUGGAGUGCCUCGCGGCCUAUCAGCUAGUUGGUGAGGUAACGGCUCACCAAGGCGACGACGGGUGGCUGGUCUGAGAGGAUGGCCAGCCACAUUGGGACUGAGACACGGCCCAGACCUCUACGGGAGG